rnacentral:rRNA from 1 species
UACGAAGGGGGCGAGCGUUGUUCGGAUUUACUGGGCGUAAAGGGCGCGCAGGCGGCUAUCCAAGUCAGGCGUGAAAGCCCCGGGCUUAACCUGGGAGGUGCGUCUGGGACUGGGUGGCUAGAGUUCGGGAGAGGAGAGUGGAAUUCCCAGUGUAGAGGUGAAAUUCGUAGAUAUUGGGAAGAACACCGAUGGCGAAGGCAGCCAUCUGGACCGACACUGACGCUGAGGCGCGAAAGCGUGGGGAGCAAACAGG